rnacentral:lncRNA from 1 species
UCUGCAGUGUUGAAUGAAGUGAACCCUGAUGAGGGACCUAUAGAAGGAUCAUUUUUCCUUGUCAAGAGUAGCCUACUCAGCAUGCUGACCACAGCCUAACAGAUUGAGGCUUCUGCAUUGUUUAAAAAUAGCAGUGACAAGAAUAGGAGUUUUUGCUUAGAACAACAUGUGUCUAUCUCUCUGGUUUGCUGAAUUUUAAUAGCAUGCAAGUUCUUCAUGGAUUGAGUAAACUAUGGCUCUGAAGACAUCAGAAGAGUGUGGACAAGCUAUUCAAUACAGUGGGAAGAAAACAAUUAUGACUGAUUGUCCUGAAGUUACAGGAGAAUAA